rnacentral:lncRNA from 1 species
GAGCUAAUAAGGAUGAUGUGCUGCUGGCUUAAUGACACCUCGCGGAGCCGUUGUGCCUUCCAGGAGUGCCCAUGCUCCUGUGUCGAUGGCCUCACAGCCCCAAGCAGGUGCUGCAGAGCGGCUCCCACGUGCUGGAGCAGGGCAGGAGGUGGGGCACGGUGAGUGCUGCUACCCUGGGGGAUGGCACCUGUCUGCACCGAGCAGCACAGGGGCUGGAAGAGGUCCUGCUCCCAUCCCUCCCUCACCACUGUGGCUGUGACUUUGCGUUUCCAGACUCCAAGUUGGGACCGUGAGUAGCGGUGGAAGACUGCACAGAACCACGUACUGCGUGGCCCUGGGGAGACAAGUGAGAGCCUGCAGCUUCAGGAGGUGAUGUCAUGCAGCAUAAAAGCCAAGGGGGAAGCUGAAAUGUGGCCUGUUCCAUGUCACACGGCACUGUAGGAGUAGAGAAAUGGUAGAGUCCUCCCGUCAGCUGACAGCCUGCUGAUCUGCUCCCUGCUCUGAACGCUGAUGCAGAGUGCAGCGUUCCCAGGCAGGUGCUCGUGGGGCUGGGCUGCCGUCCUCACCUUAAAGCUGUGCUGUUCUUCUACACAGAGGCUUCAGGGUAUUGCCCCCCUGUGCACAAACAGCACAUAAGCGUGUUGUCAGGCAGCCCACCGGAUAUGGUUUGUGGUGUCAUUUUGUCAUCCCACGUCCUGUCUCCUUCCUGGAUGUCCGAGAUCCUGACUGAAUGCCUGUGCUGUCCACAGCAAUCAGACUCUGCCAUGGGAAACAGUCCUGCAUUCUGCCUGCAGGUGGGCAGACCCAGAUUCAGCACAGUGGGUCCGUAACAUCCCAUGCUUUGAGGGAGAUGGAUUUGCAGUGAAUUAUUCAGACAGUGGUACUUAAGGCCACAGCCAACACAACUGAGAGCCUCGAUGCCUCCUAAUGCUCCCCUGUUCACACGGACUCUGGUGUGGCCCCCCUCUAAACUUGUUCUCUCUUAAAACACGACUUCUUCCUGCAUGGACAAGUUGUUAUGAGACCAUCAAGGUCAGACGUUUGGGGACAGACAGCUGCCUCUGAAUGAGGUCAUUGCUCCAGGACACGGCCGUGCCAGCGCGCGAGGGCAGCAGCAGCGCUCAGCAUCCAGCAGGCACAUGGCCGAGCAGCUGCCCUGCAACGACCGCCCCACAGCUGGGGUUGGGCUGGGGGAUCUCCAGAGGUCCCUGUGAGCCUCUCUGGUUCUGUGGCUCUGUGAAAUGAAGUAACAACAAAAACGAGGGGAUGUGAUGAGUGUGUUUUGGAAGUUGGCAACAGCACAAAGAAAAUUAAGUGUAGCAUGAUUACUUUAUGACUGGAAGAAGUGGAUGUCUAAGGUCAAGACAGGACUGGGAGCAACAGUAAGAGUUCAAAUACACUUCUGAAACCAUAAUUUGAUGAUGAGGCCACACCUUCAACUGGGAUGAUAUGGAUCAAAAGAAGAAAUAGAAGAGGAAGAGUUUAGAAGAAGGCAAGAUAUAUGCACGAUGCAUGCAUGCUACUAAUAAUUCUAAUGAGCUCUCCCAUGUGCUCGCCCUCCUGUACUGAGCUGGUGUAAAGGCCGGGAUGUGCCGGAGCGGUCCCCUCGGUUGUGUCCCGGUACAGCAGCACCCGCCCGCGGUCACCCCGCGCCCCUCCCGGCUGUGCCCCGCUCCGACGCUGGGUCUACAGCUCCUGCGGGCCGGGCGCUUUGUGACCCGCACAGCGGCGGUUGGUGCCACCAUCUGCUGGCGAGCACCCAAAUGGGCCCACCGAGACGCCUUCCAACGGGAGUACGGCAGCACUCGGCCUCCCGCCGCCCCCCGCCUUCUCUGGCUGUUACCCGAGCGGUCCGGGGCCGCCCGCAGCAGAGCUCCACUCCCCGCGGGCGC